GAUGAACGCUGGCGGCGUGCCUAAUACAUGCAAGUCGAGCGAACAGAUGAGGAGCUUGCUCCUCUGACGUUAGCGGCGGACGGGUGAGUAACACGUGGAUAACCUACCUAUAAGACUGGGAUAACUUCGGGAAACCGGAGCUAAUACCGGAUAAUAUAUUGAACCGCAUGGUUCAAUGGUGAAAGACGGUUUUGCUGUCACUUAUAGAUGGAUCCGCGCCGCAUUAGCUAGUUGGUAAGGUAACGGCUUACCAAGGCAACGAUGCGUAGCCGACCUGAGAGGGUGAUCGGCCACACUGGAACUGAGACACGGUCCAGACUCCUACGGGAGGCAGCAGUAGGGAAUCUUCCGCAAUGGGCGAAAGCCUGACGGAGCGACGCCGCGUGAGUGAUGAAGGUCUUCGGAUCGUAAAACUCUGUUAUUAGGGAAGAACAAAUGUGUAAGUAACUAUGCACGUCUUGACGGUACCUAAUCAGAAAGCCACGGCUAACUACGUG
rnacentral:rRNA from 1 species